CCUACGGGAGGCAGCAGUGGGGAAUAUUGCACAAUGGGGGAAACCCUGAUGCAGCGACGCCGCGUGAGAGAUGAAGUAUGUCGGUAUGUAAAGCUCUAUCAGCAGGGAAGAAAAUGACGGUACCUGACUAAGAAGCCCCGGCGAACGACGUGCCAGCAGCCGCGGUAAUACGGAGGGGGCAAGCGUUAUCCGGAUUGACUGGGUGUAAAGGGAGCGUAGACGGCUGUGCAAGCCAGAUGUGAAAGCCCGGGGCUCAACCCCGGGACUGCCUUUGGAACGGUGUGGCUGGAGUGUCGGAGAGGCAGGCUGCAUUCCUCGUGUCGCGGUGAUCUUCGUCGAUAUUAGGCGGCACACCAGUGGCGCCGGCGGCCUGCUGGACGAUGCCUGCCGUUGCGGCUCGACCGCGUGGGGAGCAAACCGGAUUAGAUACCCCUGUAGUC
rnacentral:rRNA from 1 species